GCUCUGCUUGAGUUUUGUAAGUGAGCCCAGGAUAGGGUUAUCCCCUUACUUGCAAGACCAUCAGUGGCUCUCCAGAGUGUUUUGUAGUGUUAGAAGGCUGGAUGCAGUGCUGAAGUUGAAUAAAGCAACGGAAACUGAAAUUUGGAUAAAAGGGAAGAAAAGCAAAAGCGCUGGAAUUCUUUAGAAAACAGCUGAUUCCUGAGCAAGAUGCUGUUAUACUUGUCUUAUUUUUCCUGAUACAAAACCAGUGAUGAGUAGCUGCUUCUUCCACCUCCACAAACAGAUGGGCAUCAUGGUAUCCCAGCACCUUCCUGAUAUGGUAGU